CCUACGGGUGGCAGCAAUUAGGAAUCUUGCGCAAUGGGCGAAAGCCUGACGCAGCGACACCGCGUGCGGGAUGACGGUCGAGAGAUCGUAAACCGCUGUGGUCGGGGAAGAACACAAUGACGGUACCCGACUAGAAAGUGCUGGCAAAUCUGGUGCCAGAAGCCUCGGUCAGACCAGAAGCACAAGCGUUAUCCGGAUUUACUGGGCGUAGAGGGGUAGGCAGGCGGUAUAAUGCGUCUUGUCUUAAAGACCUAGGCUCAACCUAGGGAAAAGAUGGGAUACGGUUAUACUUGAGACACACAGGGGUACGUGGAACUGUGCAAGUAGGGGUUAAAUCCUUUGAUAUGCACAGGAACACCAAGGGCGAAGGCAGCGUACUGGGUGUGUUCUGACGCUCAUCUCCGAAGGCUAGGGGAGCAAAACGGAUUAGAUACCCUAGU
rnacentral:rRNA from 1 species